rnacentral:rRNA from 1 species
GAUUCCACACUGCCGAGAAAAGCCUCUAGAUAGAAAAUAGGUGCCCGUACCGCAAACCGACACAGGUAGUCAAGAUGAGAAUUCUAAGGUGAGCGAGCGAACUCUCGUUAAGGAACUCGGCAAAAUGACACCGUAACUUCGGGAGAAGGGGUGCUCUUUAGGGUGACCGCGCAGAAGAGCCGCAGUGAAUAGGCCCAAGCGACUGUUUAUCAAAAACACAGGUCUCUGCUAAACCGUAAGGUGAUGUAUAUGGGCUGACGCCUGCCCGGUGCUGGAAGGUUAAGAGGAGUGGUUAGCUUCUGCGAAGCUACGAAUCGAAGCCCCAGUAAACGGCGGCCGUAACUAUAACGGUCCUAAGGUAGCGAAAUUCCUUGUCGGGUAAGUUCCGACCCGCACGAAAGGCGUAACGAUUUGGGCACUGUCUCAACGAGAGACUCGGUGAAAUCAUAGUACCUGUGAAGAUGCAGGUUACCCGCGACAGGACGGAAAGACCCCGUGGAGCUUUACUGUAGCCUGAUAUUGAAAUUCGGCACAGCUUGUACAGGAUAGGUAGGAGCCUUUGAAACGUGAGCGCUAGCUUACGUGGAGGCGCUGGUGGGAUACUACCCUAGCUGUGUUGGCUUUCUAACCCGCACCACUUAUCGUGGUGGGAGACAGUGUCAGGCGGGCAGUUUGACUGGGGCGGUCGCCUCCUAAAAGGUAACGGAGGCGCUCAAAGGUUCCCUCAGAAUGGUUGGAAAUCAUUCAUAGAGUGUAAAGGCAUAAGGGAGCUUGACUGCGAGACCUACAAGUCGAGCAGGGUCGAAAGACGGACUUAGUGAUCCGGUGGUUCCGCAUGGAAGGGCCAUCGCUCAACGGAUAAAAGCUACCCCGGGGAUAACAGGCUUAUCUC